rnacentral:rRNA from 1 species
AGUGAACGCUGGCGGUAGGCCUAACACAUGCAAGUCGAACGGCAGCACAGGAAGAGCUUGCUCUUACGGGUGGCGAGUGGCGGACGGGUGAGGAAAACAUCCGAAUCUACUUUUUCGUGGGGGGGAACGUAGGGAAACUUACGCUAAUACCGCAUACGACCUACGGGUGAAAGCAGGGGAUCUUCGGACCUUGCGCGAUUGAAUGAGCCGAUGUCGGAUUAGCUAGUUGGCGGGGUAAAGGCCCACCAAGGCGACGAUCCGUAGCUGGUCUGAGAGGAUGAUCAGCCACACUGGAACUGAGACACGGUCCAGACUCCUACGGGAGGCAGCAGUGGGGAAUAUUGGACAAUGGGCGCAAGCCUGAUCCAGCCAUACCGCGUGGGUGAAGAAGGCCUUCGGGUUGUAAAGCCCUUUUGUUGGGAAAGAAAAGCAGCAGGUUAAUACCCCGCUGUUCUGACGGUACCCAAAGAAUAAGCACCGGCUAACUUCGUG